AUUGAACGCUGGCGGCAUGCCUUACACAUGCAAGUCGAACGGUAACAGGUCUUCGGAUGCUGACGAGUGGCGAACGGGUGAGUAAUACAUCGGAACGUGCCUAGUAGUGGGGGAUAACUACUCGAAAGAGUGGCUAAUACCGCAUGAGAUCUACGGAUGAAAGCAGGGGAUCGCAAGACCUUGUGCUACUAGAGCGGCCGAUGGCAGAUUAGGUAGUUGGUGGGAUAAAAGCUUACCAAGCCGACGAUCUGUAGCUGGUCUGAGAGGACGAUCGGCCACACUGGGACUGAGACACGGCCCAGACUCCUCCGGGAGGCAGCAGGGGGGAAUUUUGGACAAUGGGCGAAAGCCUGAUCAAGCAAUGCGGCGUGAAGGAUGAAGGCUUUCGGGUUGUAAACUGUUUUUGUACGGAACGAAAAGCCCCGGGUUAAUACCCUGGGGUCAUGACGGUACCGUAAGAAUAAGCACCGGCUAACUACGUGCCAGCCGCCGCGGUAA
rnacentral:rRNA from 1 species